rnacentral:tRNA from 1 species
GCUGGGCUGGCUCAGUGGUUAGAGCUUAGGUUUCGUAACCGAAAGAUCAUGAGAUCGAAUCCCGCUAGAG